rnacentral:lncRNA from 1 species
AUCCCCGAGGCGGCCCUGCGCCCGGGCGCGCCGGCUGGGGCUCUGGCGCUCUCGCAGGCCCCGAGGCCGACAGUCCCGGCGAGGGCGGGCGCCCCGCGCUCCAGCACCGGCUGCCUGAGCGCUCCUGGAGCAGCAAACCCCAGACUUCUUCCUCCUUCUCUCCUUCCUUCCUUCCCCCUCCCCUUAUCUUUUUCUUUUUUUAGUCUCUUUCUCCCUCUUUUUCUGCCCUGUGUCCUUUUUAUUUUUUCUCUACGACUGUUUUUGCAAGUUUGUUUCAAAAGUUCACAGCAUGCUUUCUUUUCUUUUAGACCGGGAGACAGUGAUCUCACCCACACGGUAAGAUCAAAAGUCUCCGCUCGCCCAGCCUGCGGGCUUGGGCUGGGUCCAGACGUCUCCCAGGAUGCAGAUGCGCCGCCGCUGGCCUCCCCGGCUAUAAAGCCGCCUCCAGCGCCUUUCCGCGCGCAGGAGCGCUCGGAGUUGUGGGGUACGGACCCCAGGCGGGGCAGGGAGUCCGAGGCGGGCUGCGGCGGGGCUCUCGGGCUGGCGGACUCGGGGGCUGAGGCGCCGUGCGCGUUGGGUGCCCGCGGCCGCAGAGGCCAGAACCGCUACUCCUCCAGGCCGGGGAGACGCGGCCGUGGAGCGUGAAACGCUUCUUGCAAGCGAGGAAACGGUGAGUUGGCCGACACCGCCGGCGGCCUCACCAUUCUGGUGGCCGCGCUGAGCUCCUGUCGCCUGGAGGCGGGUUGCGCCGCACGGGGUCAGCUCCCGCCGGCUCCCAGCUCACCUUCGAAGCUCCCACUUAGGCGCGCCCGGUGCGGCGUGUGCACAGCGCGGGGCGCCGCACACGGAAGCGUGUAGUUCUCCCUGGUCGCGCUUUUCUCCUCCUUUCCAUCCCCUCGCUGUUCUUGCAAACCUCUGUUCCUUCGGCCCCCUCCCACUGCGGGCCGCGGCCUGAACUCGGGUCUCCGCGUAGCCGGCCGCCGCCGCUGGGUCGCUGCCUGGCCCUCCCCCGCUCAGGCGCCGAGCGCUGUGCGAUCCGCCCUAACAUCUGUCCGUCCAACCAUUGGCGCAUCCAUCAGUGUCAAUGGGCUGCACAUUGCAGCGACAGCCCGCCACGCACAACACGGGCUAUGCGGAGUGCACGCAGCAACCAUACUGCCAUGUCGGGACACGCAAAAAGGCCCCCGGCCUGGCUUGGCACAGCCUGAAGGCCUAAUCUGUGUUCUUUCAGCCACAUGUACCCACCCCCACUUAAUAUCUGGACCCCCAAACAUGAAUAGUUUUGCAGACCAUUGUAGGGAUGGAAUUGAAGGAAGAGGGGCAGUGUCGCCCGAGUCAUUAUUUUCCACCAGGUUUUCUCUGCCCUUGUGUGGGCUGGGUGUGGCUAGGAGAGAAGGAAGGGAGACUUCCCAAAUCCGCACCAAGCACACUGCAGAACCGGAAGCUACCUGGAUGCAAGGGCUUAAACCCCCUUCACCUGGGCCUAGGAUGUGUUGUCGAGGUCGCUGGCCAGGUUUUAGCCAGGAGGUCUCGCGCUAAAACUUUUUGGCCCCGCCUGGCUGCUGUGUGUGACAUGGCCUGAUGGAGAGGAGCUGGAGAGCGGAGGAAAACGUGGAUCCCAGUGAGAACUAAGGGCCAGAUUUAGGGAGAAAUAGUGUCUGGAUGGCAGUAAGUCUGUAAUUCACAUUUUGUUUACAAAGGGAGAAAGGGCAGGGCUGUAGGUUUGAGAAGCCAGAGGUUUGCGCGGAGUUCCGUGUGCCCAUUCCCCGAGAGUGCCGCUCUUGGCUGUAGUUGUUUGUUCUACCUGAUUUUGCCUCUUGCCUUCAACUCCCCCAUAACCCCUCCCCAAAUGUCCAGAGGGCAAACAUAUGCGCAUACCUCCCUGAUCAAUCCAGCCAGACCAAAGGGCCUUCCCUGUCCUCCCCCUAAGAACUUAAUGGGAAGAGUGUACGGGGGACCUACUCUUGGGACAUCUGCAGGGCGGCUGUACCAGGCGUUUUACCUGACUUUAUUCUUACCGCAAAGAUUUCCGUCUCGGUACCUGGUGCCCCCUCAGAGUCCACUACACAAACGGGUAAAAUCCCGCGCGGCUAUUCAUUUCGCCAUUCGCGAGUAAGAAGGGGAAAAGGAGCCGCUUCUAGGAGAGCACUGAGGUAUGCUCGGUUCGGUUCCCGAGGAGGCCAGAAGCGGCCGCGGCGGCGCGGGCUGGAGCUCCCUCCUGCAGGGAGACACCGCGCUCUAGGGUGCGGGCUUCGCCGCCCACAUCCAGUGGUCGAACUGUUUUCACGCUAGACUAGAGGGCGGAAAAGUCUGCGCCCGCGGAGAAACUAGAAUUCUGUAGAAUGUACACUGUGUAGAAAUCUUUUCACCCCACUCUUCAGAGUUGCAGAUUAUCUUUGAAAAACAACAGGCUCUGGCCCUGCCAGCCCUAGUAACUUCUACCCGCCUGAGUCACUCUGAAAAGUAAGCCCCUAGGCCAGUGAGAUGUCCCCACCUUUGGGAGGUGCCGCCUUUCCGGGAACAUUAAAAAAAAAACCCUAAAAAUAGAAGGAGGAAAAAUGAGCAAAGGCGGUGGGACGACUCACCGAAACACCGAGGUGCAAAUGUCCAUUGGAGAAACUGGCAGUCGCAUGGCAGCCAGCUGGCUCACCCAAUAGCUGGGUGGUAACCUUGUGAUCCCCAAACAUCCCCCAGGGCCAUGAAGGCAGUGCUGACCCCCACGAUUGCACCUCAGGCCCGGUGGAAUCCCGCUCCUCCUCCAUAGUGGUGCUAUGUAAUCAGUAGAAAAUCAGUAGAAAAGCUCCCAAAUGAAGCUGCUUCAGGUCAGGGGUUAGAAAUCUGCCUCAGACUUUUUGAACUCAAGGAAAUCGGGACAUCUGUCCCCAGAGCUACCUGUGCCCCACCCCAGGAUCAUUCAUGACCUUAGCUACCGGGAGCUCUGCCCGGAUAAGUUUUUAAAAGAGAGAGAGAAAGAAAAAAGUCACAUGCAGGCAAGGCUAGGAACAGGUGUGUGCUGUGGGGACGGGCACUUGGCUCGCAACACACCACACAAAGUCACGAAGUCUGUGCCAGAAAGGAGUAGCCAAACCACCGCCGGGAGGCAGCCGAGGUUGUGUUUAAGGUGGCGAUUGAGGGCAGUAGGUGACAACUCGACCCAAAGAAGGCCAAGUCUUGUCCUUAUCUGGGGUGGCCACUGAGGGAAAAGACUUAAGGGAAAGAAGUUGUCUUCAAAGCUACCAUUACAAGAUGAGGAGCUAGAGUGGGCUCAGGUCCCAGGCACCCAGGGCUUAAGCCUUGAUGUUGGAGAGGUUCUCGGAGGGAGGCUUGGGCCACCUGGAGGGACUGGGCACUCUGAGUAGUACCCUCUGGGAGGCUGUACCCCCUUUCAAAGUGUGAGGGCAUUUGCCCAAGGUGUAGGCUUUUAGGGAGCCCAGGGCUGGGCAGCACCAGGGGAGAGAGGCACCAGGUGGGUGCCCUCCUGCCUGCACUCACCUGGAAUGCUGGCAUAUGGGUUUUUCGCCUUCCUCACGCCUCCCCACACCACAUUCUGGGCUAGGCAGUGUCGAGGAGGUGCCUUGGGUUCAGGGAAGCUUGCCACCUGCACACCUGAACCAGGAAUUGGGCCCCGGAAUCUCAGCCCCUGCCCAAGCAGGAAGGAUAGGGACCCUGGCCCUCGCCAGGUGGUAAAUUGUUUGCUAAAAGUGCAUUUACACGGCGGCGAAGUUUGUUUCUCUUUUACCGGUAGCUUUGUUUUAACGAACCAGAUGUUUUGUCUGUAAAUUCUCCCAAGAACUUUUCCAGUUUUGACGUGAAAUAAACCUUCGAAAAUCAGAAGAGUAUAUUAAUACCACUUCUGUGGGGCCUCAGGAGAGCUGAGUCAGGUGUGCCUGGAUGGGAGCUGGGGGUGGGAGUACAAUCUUUGGAGAGAAGUAGGGGGCUUCUCUUGGCCCAAGGUCAAGAAUUGGUUUGGGGGAGGUGAAGUGCCUCCCCGACUCCCAAAACAGGCGCACACACACGCAUUGUCACACCAGAGUACGCACUCCCAGCCCUCCUCCAACCAGGCAUAGCUUGCUACUUCGUAAAUUUCUUGUGGCUUGGGGCACAGAGAUGUAGCUCAACUUUGCAGACUGUGUCCACUGCAUGCCGCUGCCGUUUUCCACGAGGACCGCCUGACUGAAAGGCAAAGGGGCCUUCGAUCUUCUUCCCGGGGCAGCUUUGAUGCCUGAGUGUGCGGGGCCGGGGCCGGGGCCAGGGCAGAGCAGGGUGGAAGCUGGUGCCCCUGUCUGGCCCACCCUUAACUCCUGGGCACCACUCGAUUCGGGAGAACUUGGGGUGGAAGCCGACCUGGUCUAGGAAGCCACAGCCUGCAGGUCCCCCUCUCCAAUGCCUCAUUUUUUCCGAUUUAGGAUUUCCAGGCAGUUAUAAACACCUUAAAAAAAAAGACCCACUUAACAAUACACCUAAAAGAGGGAGGGAAGGAAGGAAGGAGUACGGUUAUCACAGGCGUGUGGGGAGAGGGAAACCAGGUCUGCCUAGAAACCCACCUUCUGGUCCUGUGAGUCAUAGCGGCCACUUUCUCGGGUUUCCCAAGACAGGAGAUGGCGAUUUUCUGCUCCCUCCCCUCUCCCCAAGCUUUCCAGUGCUCUGAGUCUCACAUCUUCAGAUACCUCUUUCUUCCUUCAUUCUCUUUCGUUCAAUCAUCUACGGAACUUUCAAAAACUUUUUUUUUAGGAGAGCGAAGAUUAAAUAAAGAAAAUAAAACGUCUUUGUAUUUCAGUCUAAGGAGGACAGAUGCACAUUAAACUCAGUUUGGAGCGCUUAACUCCAGGCGAAAUGCCCUUUUAUCAAAUCCCACGCGUCGACUUGGGUUGCGCUGGGAAUUUCACGAAUUCCUCGCUGCAGCGUGGCGUGGUUUACCCCCACCCCCACCGCCACCCCACUUUGGGUGAAAUGGAUUUUUGGAAACCAUUUAAGCAGAGCUAAAAAUAAGGGUGGGGGGAUCCCUACACUAGAGAUAGCUGCAGCCACCUAGGGGCUCACCCCUGGUCGGGAGCGAGCAGCUAUUUGCUAGUUGUAGCUCAGGGGUGCCCAACUCUUCCCGUGUGGUUGCGCCAGCUGCCCCGCACUGCAGGUAUCUGAAUCAUUACGUGGGCAACCUGAUGCGGCUCUGAACCCCAGCUCUUUGAAUGCUGGAAUCCUGAAGGAGGAGGAUUCCACCAGGUCUUAGCCGACCAGAUAGCCCAGCUUUCUGAGGCUGGUGACCUCAUUAACUGGCCAGGGAAUUUGCAAGACCAGGAAUAAUCACGUUUCCCAGUUCUUCUUUCCUACAUUGCUUUUCUCCUCUGUCUUCAACGUUAGGGUUUUGUGUUUGUCCCUAAAUUUACAAUUUACAAACGGGGAAGACGGAGCCUAAGUUUCUGCAGGGCAGGUACAAAAGAGAGGGACAACACUCUGGGGGCCUCAUUCUUUCACGUUUUUGUUUCUUGAAAUUUGAUGGAUAUCACCUUAGUUCGGCAAUAGGAGGGCCAGGGUGACUGGGGACAUGGUGGCCCGAAGGGUUAGAUAAUAUAGCAUGCAGGUAGUCUCUGAUCUCCAGGGCUUUGAUAACACCAAGAUUUUCCUCCUUUGCAGAGCAGUCCUAAAUUCUGCCUUCUCCCUUUUCUGCCGCCUCUUCUCUUUUCCCCAUUUCUUUCUUCGUUUCUUUUUCUGUUUUCUUUUUGUGUGCCUCUCUUCCAACAGUCCCUCCUCCACCUUUAUAAGACUUCUCAAAGGUUAUUUAUUUAAGGUCUACCAAGUGCUAGCCCCAAACAGGUCCAGUCCUUCUACCUGUGGCAAGACGGAGGCUGUUACCGCGUGCAAAUAGUGAGGGAACAAAGUAGUUUGGAGUUUUUUGCAGCUUUUUUAGGUGAGGGGAAGGGAGGGAGGUCAGAAAUAGGUUGACACUUGGUUUGAAAUAAAAGAGCAUGUUAAGAAGUUUCGAAGCUGCCAAUAAAACCCUUUAAGUGGCUUGUGAUUCAGUGCCUGGAGUUGCGGGGAUGGCAUUGGUAAAUGACUCUAAUGCCCAAAGAAAAAUAUUACAAAUGCCGCUGUCUCGGCCACCAAUCGGGCGCCGCUUUCCUGCGCGGGCGAUGGCUCCUCUCUGGCGCGGAGGGCACCCACAUUUGCAUGAUAAAUUGACCAGACUGGCGGCAGCCAAUGAAAUAUUCAAAUUAGGCUGGGUGGCGGUAGUAGGGGUGGAGUCCCUGGGGCUGCCCCUUGGCGCGGCGGCGGGAGCGGGCGCUACCACCUCUCCGUCAGCGCCCUCUGGAGGCGGGACAGCGCGGGCGGCCGCUCUGGCCCAAAAGACGAGAUGGGGGGUUGGGGGUUUGGGAUGCAAGGGGGUUUGGGAGGGGUGAUGGUGGGGUCUGGGUGGUGCUUCGCGGCCCCAGGAGGCUUUCCGGCUGGCCUCGUUGACUAGGCGUACAGCAGCGUCUCCGCAUGCCUCUUGCCCUUAAAAGUGUUGAUGGAUUGCAGAAGUGGAUGGUGACCCCAAGGAGGGGUUUCAGAAAGGCUCCAGCCUCCUUCGCCCAACCACCUUCUCUAGGUUCCCCUAACAAACCCAUCACUUAAGUUAAAAACGUGUAUUUGCUCUUGUUGACUUAGCUUUAAGACAAGAUUCUUGCCCACCGCAGACCACAUGGCCAGCUUUCCCAAAGGCCCUCUGAUAAUGAAAUGGUGGAGCAGAUAUAUCAAACUUUCCAUCUUGCCCUGAGCCAACGACCCUGCACCCUCACAGGCCAGGGCACUCUGGAGGGCACCCUGCCUGGAGCCCCAAACCUUGGGUAAGCUGUGGGAGCCUAGGCAGGGGCAGGCAGUGCCUGGAGGCUGGCUUCAGACGGCAGAACUUCUCACCUGGGAAAAUGCUUUCUGGAAGAAGCACCCAGGCCUCAAGGCAGCUCCAGUGAGGGGGCAAAAAGGGAUAUACAUAAGGCAUAAGGCGCUGGCCAUGGUUAGGUAGGUGCUCAGCCAGGAAGAUAGGGCAGAUUCACAUGGGGGAGAUUGGCUCGGUGAUGAGACCACUUCUGACUCCACCAGAACCAGGCCCAGCUCUUCCUGGAGGUCCUGACUCAACGGGGACUUUUGCAUGGGAGCCAAAGAACAGUGGAUGUCUCUUGUCCGCUGAUCAUCUCUUCCCUUCCCCCACCCCAUAUUCCAUCCCAUGCCAGAUCCCUAGGCUGUGCCUGUUAGAGCUACUGUAGCACCACAUGGACUUGCCUUUAAAGCAGAAUUUUUAGAAGUGCAGUUGCUUUUCUUUACUCUGCUGUGGGAUGCUGAACACCUUGUUCUUUCUCCAGCUCAGCAGGGCUUGGAGUUGGUUCCUAGCUAUCUCUGGGAAUGCUCGAUCCCCAUCUCUGUUACCAGCCAAAAGGGUCUGCGGGAGGUGGUCGGCACUCCAGUCAGCAGCCCUCUCAGUACCUCUUCCCCAGACAUAGUCAAAGCAAGUCAUUCAUCUGCAGCCAGUCUCCCCUGCCCAUUCACCAAGGAGAACCUGGGGAUAGGACCACUCAGAGCCUGGCCCAGGCUGGCUCACUAACUGUGUGUAAAUACACACAGCGGAAAGAGUAGGUGCUGAACACACAUGUGUGAGAGAGUGAAUUUUUACUCUCAAUCACCUUAUAUAUAUUAUCAAUAGUUUCAAAGUAUGUUGCCCAAAGGAUGUUAAUUCCUAAGAAGGCUUUUAUAUCGUUUGGAGUUUUGAGGAGUGUGUUGGCUGAAGAGAAGAGGGUCUGGCCCCAGUCUUGAUGGGAAUGCAUGGGGUAAACAGCUGGUGGCAGAGGUACAAAAGGGGCCUCUCUACUUUCUAAGAGAAUCUUCCAUCCUGGCUGAUUUUAGGACCUGGGGUGGGGUUCCCAUCAGGAGGAGGCCUAAGGAAGGAGUAGGACCCUUCCUAGAUGGCUGAGUCAACUUAUACGACAGGGCAGGGAAACCUAUCUUGGAAACCCGGGAGCCCUCCUUCCUCCUCCCCAUCCUCAGGCCUCACCUGAGACUUGAAAAUGGACCAGAGUCUUCCUCCAACAGUGAAAUUCGUUAAAGAGUCACUCCUGUCUAGAAUGUGCAGAAAUGCAAGCCUCUCUCUUUCUCUCUCUCUCUCUUUCUCCACCUUGAGGAUGCUGUAUCUAGAGCCCAUAUAGGGACAAGAAGGUAAGCAGUGAAAGCAGGAAAGAAGUAGAAGGCUGGCUGUCAUCCAGCUGUGCAUACAGUCCUAUCUCAGCUGAACUGUGCACGGUGAAUGAGGAAGUAAAUGACAGGUGAAGGACCAAGAGAGUGAAGCUAGUCAGUUUAUCUGAGGAGAUAGGUAUCAGUGAGUAACUGUAAGGAUCACACCCACAGUGGGUGUGCCCCGCAGAUGGAUAUAUGUGCAGCAAGCGGUACCUUGCGGGGGAAUGCAAGCUCCAACUGUGGUGCUGAGCCUCUGGCCCAUAAGUAACCCAGUGAGCCUGAGCAGGUCACUCCCUCUCUUUGAACCUUGUCUCCAUCUCUAAAACAGGACAGCUUUCUCCAUCUUAAACACCAAGUAGGAAUUCAUUGUGGAAACCUUCCAUCAAAAUUGGAGAUGCCUUGGAUGGACCCUGUGGUGGCUCAUGCCUGUAAUCCCAGCACUUUGGGAGGCUGCGGCAGGCAGAUCACUUGAGUCCAGGAGUUUGAGACCAGCCUGGGUGACAUGACAAAACCCUCUCUCCACAAAAAAUACAAAAAUUAGCUGGGCAUGGUGGCAUGCACCUGUAAUCUCAGCUACUUGGGAGGCUGAGGCAGGAGGAUCGCUUGAGCCUGGGAGGUUGAGGCUGUAGUGAGCCGAGAUAGUGCCACUGCACUCCAGUCUGGGCAACAGAGUGAGACCCUGUCUCAAAAAAACAAAAAAUAGAGAAAUAGAGAUGCCCCUUGAACCCAUGGGUUUUUGGGACUACAUUCUGGAAGCUUUCAGAGUCAGACCAGAGUUUGAAAGAGGCAUUGUGUCACUAGCCGUGUGCCCGUGGGCAAGUCACAGUAGAGUCUACUUCCCACGGCACUUGUGAGACUCAUCUGGGAUUAUGUGUGUCCAUGCCUUGGCAGAGAGCUUGGUGAAGAAUGUUAGUUGUCCAAUAAAUGGUACCCCAUUAAGUUGGUGUGCAGGGUGGCCACAGGGCCAGACCACCCUGAAAAUAAAGGCUUAUAUUUGGGCUGAGCCUGGAUGCACCUGAGAUUACAAGCAGGUGCUUAGAAUGUGGUGAAAAAGAAAGACAGGAGAGAAUGGCUGAAGGCAGCAUGCAGUCCACCUGACUUUCUGGGAAGAUUGGGCAUUUGCAGGGCUGAUAAGUCAGGUUCUUCCGGGCCUUUCUGUGAGCUCAUUAGAGGAAGGGGUCUGGUGACUGAUAUUUCUAUUUUCCCUGUUAGUAGCGACUGGAAUUUGCACCAUCCAGGUCAGAUGGAAAAUAGAAGGCGGGAAAAUCUGACAGUCUCAUUGAUUUGCUCUCUUUGCCAUCACCACUCUUGAGAGGAAGAAAUGUGACUUCAAACUUGCAAUUAGGAACCAGCCUGCUAAGGAGUCCUCUCGUGAGCUCCUGUGCUAUGCGGAGCACAGGCCCAUCUCAUCUCAUUUCCUAAGGAGGUAGGUUCAUUCAUGGUUUCAGCAGGAGCAGGCAGUGCAAACGUGUGACACCCGCCCGCAAAUAACUGCCAGAAAGGCCGUCCAAUGCUUCCUUCACAUUUUUGGUCAGAUCUCUGAAAAGAUGGCCAUUCUCCCAAUGUUUUAAAAGUAUUAACUUCCUUUCAAACAUCCUUUAACCUUUAAUGUUUUGUAACUUGAUGAAAAGGUCAUUUUGUGCUGAGGAUGCAGUUGUUCCGGAAUUGUUCAGCUAACGGGGUGAAUUCCAACCAAAUCCAGAAUUAUUUAAUGGGAUCCAACGCCCCGGCCACACGCACAAUAAGUGAAUAUUUUCCCAUAUAUGUCUGUGUACAGGUACAUGUACUUGUGCAUAUGUAUUUACAUAUUUGUAUCUAUGCAUGCACAUAUACUCAUUGGGACUUGGAUUCAAUGGACAUUUUUAGCCUUCUCACAAAAUGACUUAUCCUUUGCAGGAAAAUAGAUAUUAAACUUACUCUUUUGAACACAUUUUGCUAAAUAUUUGAUGGCAAUUAUUUAUGGUGCACUGUACUUAUUCCUGAUUUCUUACAGAAGGGGUUGGGUCAAUUUCUAAUUCAACAUUUCAUUGCUGUCUCUACAAUAAAUGCCUCCAGAAGCUUAGGAGAAUUGAGAGGUUUUUUUCCUCUCUCUUCUUUCACAGUGUGAGCUUUUUAACUGUCACUGGCUAGAGCAGUCCUUCUUCACUUUUACCUUCCUUAGCUGAUGUAUUCUUGGAAACAGAUGGCUGAGCAUGUUAGAUUUAUAUUUAAAAUAAGAGUAGAGUUAAUAGGCUCAAAUAAGAGCAGGAAGGUAUUUUCUACAAGGAAACUGCAUGAAGUUUAUGCCUGGACUCUGGAAGAUGUGUUAAUACUUUUACUUAUUCAAGAGGCAUUGGGUUGUGGUCUGCUAUGUUUCUUGCUCUGAUGACUGAGUUUUUAAGAUAAAGGCUCUCCGGGCAAAUAAGGAACAGUUGGAUAGAGUAGCUCACCUUAAGUCUCUAUAGACUCAUGUAGAGAACAAAUCUGAUCUAAACUGUGUAAAAAAAUGAGUAAGAGAACUCUAUAAGAUUAACACUCUUAUUAAACUUAAAAGAGAAAAUUGGUACUUUUUUUUUUUUUCUUAGACAGAGACUUGCUCUGCUGCUCAGGGUGAAGCACAGUGGCACAAUGUCGGCUCACUGCACUCACCUCUGCCUCCUGGGUUCAAGCGUUUCUUCUGCCUCAGCUUCCCGAAUAGCUGGGAUUGCAGGCAUGCACCACCACACCCAGCUAAUUUUUGUACUUUUAGUACAGACAGGGUUUCAACAGGUUGGCCAGGAUGGUCUCGAACUCCUAACUUCAAGUGAUCCACCUGCCUCAGCUUCCCAAAGUUCUGGGAUUACAGGGCACCAAAAAUUGGCACUUUUAAAAGGAGACAAGUUUUACUUAAAAGCAAAAGCCUUUAACAGGCCUUUGGCUGGAUUAAAUGAUAAUGAAGCGAAGCAAAGCUUGUGACCACUCUGUAGAGCCAUCCAGAUAGUCUCUCUUUGGGGCCAGAUCCUCUAGAAUGCAUGAUUUAGGGUCAUUCAUUGCACAUUCCUGGCUUCAGACUGGUUUUCUGAAUUUCCCUGCAAUCUGAUUUUUGUCUUCCUACAUUUCUGUGUGUGAGAUACAUCAAAAGGUAAAAGAAUGUGUGAAUCAUAUAGGUACGGUUUAAAUAAUACCUGCAUACACAACACUCAGUCACCUGAAACCCCCCGACACCUCCCAAUUCCAGUCCCCUCUCCUGGAGGCCACCUCUAUUUUUAAUUUUUGUAAUGAUCACUUCCUUGCCUUACUUUGUAGUUUUAAUAUUUAGAUGUGUAUACCUGGUCAUGUUCAUAAAUGAAAUCAUGUUGUAUGAAUUAUUUUGUGUCUUGUUUCUCUUACUCAGCAUUGUUUUUCGGACUUAACCAUGUGGAUUUGUGUUGCUGGUUCAUGGUCAAGGUUCUAGACUAUGAAAACAUUAGUUUCAUGAAAACAUUAGGAUUUUUUCCCCCCAAUUGUUUGGAUAUCAUGAAGAAUGCCGCUGCGAACAUGUUUGUUCCUAUGCCAUAACUCACAUGGGGAAUAUCUCCUAUUUAUAUAUAGUUAGGGGUGGGAUUGCUUGGUCAGAGUUUGCAUAUCUGCAGCUCUAACUGUUUUCCAAGAUGAUUGUGUCAAUUUUCACUCCCACAAGCAGUUUUUAAAGUUCCCAUUGUUCUACAUCCUUGCCAGCCUAUGAUAUUGUUAGCAAUGUUUCUUCGUAUUUGUAAUGUUUCCUAAUCUAGCGGCUGUGGUUGCUGUCUCACUGUGUUUAAUUUGCAUUUCCAUGAUUACUAAUGAGUUUGAGCACCUUUUUUAUAUCUGCGUGGUGAUCGGGAAUGCCUUAUUUGUGAGAUGCCUGUUCAAGUCCUGCCAUUAUCCGUUGCAUAUAUGUUUCACAUUAUUUCACCCAAGUUCUCUGUUGCCCAGGUUUGUUUCAGAUUGGUUUGGGACAGUGGAUCAGAUCAGAAAUGUUUCAGUGACAUCUCUCACUAUAUUUCCUAGGAUGCUUUUAUCUGUGAGAAAUACGACCCCCUGCUCACACUGGCUUAAGGAAAUUGGCAAGAGGUAGAUUAUGGCUCCAUUAUAUUAACAGGAAGCCAGUUUGCUCUGCCUUCUUACUCUUCGCUUCGUUUUCGGCAUAAUCUCAUCCUCAAGGUGUUUUAUCUUAUGAUUUCAAGAGGACCACAAAUGGCGAGUGGAACUAAUUGCUUCUUUGUCCACAUUCCACAAGGAAGAGAAUAAUAGAAAACUUUUCAUUGACCCAUGUAAUCUAAGUCAUACCCUUCAGUUUCCAGGGGCCACGUCCAUGAAGCAGGAGGCAUCUGCAGUGAAUGCCAUGCCCUGACGCCUUACUGAGCACUCCUAGUAGGACAAAAUGAGUACUGUAUGGGGAGGAGGCAACCUCAAACAACCACCAUGCUUACUGCCAAGCCUAUAGGAUAUUUUUAAAUUCAUUUUUUAAUUUGCAUAUAAUAAAAUGCAUUUUUUUGGGAUGCAGUUUUCUGAGUUUUGCCAAAUGCACAAAAUCACAUAACUACCACUGCCAUCAAGAUUUGGAACAGUGGCUAGGUGUGGUGGUGGCUUACACCUGUAAUCCCAGCACAUUGGGAGGCUGAGGCAGGAGCAUCGCUUGAGCCCAGGACUUCAAGAUCAGCUUGAGCAACAUAGUGAGACCCCAUCUUUACAAAAAACUUUUUAAAAAUUAGCUGGGCAUGGUGGCAUGUGCCUGUAGCCCCAGCUACUUGGAAGGCUAAGGCAGGAGGAUCACUUGAACCUGGGAGGUUGAGGCUGCAGUGUGCUGUGAUUGCACCGCUGUACUCCAGCCUGGGUGACAGAGGAAAACCCCAUCUCAAAAAUUUUUUUUAAAAGAUUUAGAGUCGUUUUCUUUUUUUUCUUUUUUUUUUUUGGACAGAGUUUGGCUCUUGUCGCCGGGGCUGGAAUGCAAUAGUACAAUCUUGGCUCACUGCAACCUCCACCUCCCAGGUUCAAGUGAUUCUUCUGCCUCAGCCUCCCGAGUGGCUGGGACUACAGGUGCCCAGCACCACACCUGGCUUUUUUUUUUUUUUUUUUUUUUUUUUUUUUUUUUUUUUUUAGUAGAGGCAGGGUUUCACCAUGUUGACAGGCUGGUCUCGAACUCCUAACCUCAGGUGAUCCACCCUUUUUGACCUCCCAAAGUGCUGUGAUUAUAGGCAUGAGCCACCGUGCCUGGCCUAGAAUAGUUUUCUUACUCCCCCAAAACUGCUUUAUGCUGCCUUUUUGUAGUCAAACUAUCUGCCUGCCCUUAACCCCAGCUCCCCCGCAUUAGAAACCACUGAACCUCUGAUCUGUUCUUCACCUUAAAGCUUUCCCUUUUCCAGGGUGUAGCGUAUGUGGAAUUAUAGAGUAUGUCACCUUUCAAGUCUGGCUUCUUUCAUCUAGUGUAAUGCAUUUGAGAUUUAUCUAUGUUGUCGGAUGUAUCAGUAAGUUUGUGUCUUAGCAGUGCUGAGAAGUAUUCCUUUGCAUGGAUGUACCCAGAUCUGUUUAUCCAUUCAUCAGUUAGAGGACAACUGGGUUGUUUCCAGUUUGGGGUGAUUACAAAUAAAGCCACGAUGUACAAGCACCUCUAGGUUUUGGGUGAACAUAAGUUUUCAUUUCUCUUAAGUUUCAAUACCUAGGAGAAUGAUUGCUAGGUCAAUGGUAAGAGCGUGUAUAAUGCUACAAGAAAGUGCUAAACUGUUUUCCAAAGUGAGUGUAGCAUUUUGUAUCCCCGCUAGCAAUGAAAUGAGAGCUCCGCUUGCUCUGUAAGAGGCAUUAGUGAAUAUGAAAGUGCUUUGUAAAGACUAAGGGUGUCUCACAGUGUGCCCAGGCGGGAGGAUUCAGAGGGGGCAUUUCUAAACUCUAAACUCCUGUGGGCUCCUAGCCCAUCCUUCUGAAUGGGGACAGAAUACUUCCAUUUCCAGGUUACUUGCUUCUCCAAAAGGGAGACAGGGAAGUAUCCUUCUCUUUUUGCAAAUGAGGGCACAGCACUGCCUCUCGUGGUUGAGCCAGUCAUUAUUCAGUAGGAACAGCAGUGAGAUUCUCCAGCCUUCUAUUUUAUUCCUGGGGUCACAGAGUAAAAUGCAGCGUGAUCAUUUGGAGCAUUCUUAUGCUUUGUGACAAGAACAAAGCCAGUGGAAACAGCCAUGUGUCCAAUCAGAAUGUCAGAGCUGGCAGGGACCUUAGCAAUUGUCACUUUACAGAUGAUAACCUAUUACAUCCCCAGGUCCCCAGAAUCCCAGCCCAGGACUCACUCCCUCAGCCUUCCUGGAUUGUCCUGGGUGGAACAAGAUCAGCUCAUUUAGCACAUAGUCUUCCAGAACACAAGGCAGUGUCCCACCAAGGUUGGAUGGGACCAGCUUCUCUAUCCACAGUAGCUGUGCACACAGAGACAGAAAUGAAGCCGUACUGCCGGGUGCACCGUGGCCAGAGAUCCUCCUUCCUGGUAUAUACUCCCGGAGCCAUUGCUUCUUUCAUUUCAGUGCCCAUUUCUGAGGCACCUUCACAUUUCAAACGUCCUGAGAAUAUGUUUAAUUAGAACUUGGCCAUACAGCCUUUUAAAACAAAACAGAAGGGACCAGCUAAUUAUAUCACUCAGCAUUCUGUGGCAAACAUAUAUUUUUUAAUAAAACACUUUCCUAACCAGAGUAAUCCCUGGAGAUGCAAAUCCUCAUUUAUAAGAAGUUUCCCAAAGGGAGUUAAAGAGAAGAUGCCUUAUAAAGAAAAGAGACAAAGAGAGUGGGGAAGUGUUUUCAAAGAGCUUUUAAAAGAUACACUCAUUCUGAGGUUGAAUUACAGAUAUUUUAAGGGUACCAAAUUUUAUUUCAGAUGUAAUCCUUUCCUGUGUUUUUGAUCAUGUAUUUCCGUUUUUUCCCUUUUUGAUCAUUGCCACAAAUGCCCAUAUUUCUCUUUCUGGUGUCUUUCAUAAGUGCAAUAUUUAAAUAAACAAGGGAUUUUCCCAAAAUGCACCUCAUCUCCUACUCUUUGUCAUUUCCUUGUCUUGCUCUGUAAAUAACCGUGUGUCUCACAGCAGAGCUUACACAGAAUGGAUGUGGGGCAGUCUGUGGUCCUGGGGAGGGCCUUCCCUGUAAUCUCUGCAGCCCAGGACAGGGAGAGGGAAGAUUUAGAUCCUGCUGCGGCAUGUCUUCAGGAGUGGAGGUCAGCUUGGGACAUUUACGUUCAUGAGGCAGCCGCAGAGGGUCAGAGCAAUAAUUGUGCCAGCUGAUGUUUGCUGCGGGGUUUACUCCAAGCCAGGCCACACGCUAAGAAAUUAGGUAUCGUACCUCAUUUAAUCCUCACAAUCCUCACAAAAUGUAGUUGUUUUGCUCCAUUUUGCAGAUGAAGAAGACGAGGCUUGAGAGACGAAGGAAUGAAUGAAGGGUCUCACAGCUGUUAGAAGGGUUAGAUCUUGUAUUUGGACUCAGGUCUGCCUGCCCUGGAACUUGACUCUCCCACACCUGGUGCUGGGCACACUAGGAGACGUCACAAGGCUCAGAGAUGCCACCCUUCCUAGAACGGGCGCCGUGCCUCUCUUCUCCACACACUGCAGGGGAGACAGGCACUGUGUUUUCAGAUAAGUUCCAUGUGCAUCAGGGGCUCGGUGGGAAAGGGAGGACACACUCAGAUUAGGAUUAUUCAUGGAGGAUUCUCCAAAGAGGCUAUUUGGAAAGACGGAGGGAAUGGUGAAGGAAAGCACAAGAGAAAAUGGACAGAACCGUUACUUCCUCACGCCUGAAGGGGAUGGGUUACUGGAAGCCAGGAGGAGAGUGUGAUAAGAGCCACUUUUAGAGGAGCUUUCACCUUCAGGAGAAAGUCAGGGCCCAAGAAGACCCACAGGGAGGUGACCAGGGAAUGGCAUACUUGGACUACCCUCUCUUCUGUUCCUCCACUCUCCUGCCAGGGCUCCACAUUGGAUAAACCCCUGCAGGGGCGAGUGAAACUGCCACCCAGGUUUGCCUCCCAGGGCACAGCCCAUGGAGAGCUCUAAGGCAAGUGGCAGAAAACUAGCACAGGUGCAGUGCGUCUUGCAAAGCACCCAGCCUAUGCCGGCCCUGGGCUAGAAAUGGGAAGAGAGGAGACCAUGGCACUGCCCUCAAAGAUCUUAGAGUCUGUGGAGGAGUCAGGCAGAGAGAGGGGGUGUUCCCUUGGCAAAGGACUCCAUGAGCAGAUGCAGGCCAUGGGCGACGCUCCUGCAGAAGCUUUGGGGUUUGCCGCAUGUGCCUGGAAGGAGCGCGCCCACCUUGACAUGCCUCGCCUCCUGUUGCCAUUGACAACGUGAAGGCAAACUCCUGGGGCUGGGCCUUUUUCCUUGAGAUAAAAUAUGUAUAAUUCUCUGUUAUCAAAUGAUUAUUAAACAAAAUCUAAUUGAAAAAAUAGAAAGAAGAAAAGAUAAGUCAUUUAUCAUCCUGUUCUCCAAAGACAACUGUGAACAGCUUGGUGGAACUCCUUCCAGUGGCUUUCCUUGGAGCUUUGCCUCUGUGGAUGUGGAAAACCUUAAGACCUUUGUUGGACCAACUGGGGAAGAAUUUCUUUCCUGCUCAGGCUGCUCAGCUGAUAGAGUGCUGGCCUGGAGCAGCUGAAAGACACUUUGCUGCUUUCUGGAGAAUGAAGCCACUGGGAAACCACAUAGGAGGGAAGAGAGAGACAGCUUCUCGAUGAUGUCAUCUGAACACCUGGAUCCUGCUGUGCCUGGACUUGCAGUCCCAUUGUCUACCAAUAUAGUUCAUUGAAUUCAACUUCAGCUGGAUGUCAUUCAUCUGCUUCCAGAACUUGUGUCUAAUGCAGAGCUGAAUGCAUACUCUCAGAGUUGGAAGUGGAUGCAAUCCACAAAUCUAGCACCCAAAUUUCUUUUUUCUGUUCUUUUUUUUUUUUAAUUUGAGAUGGAGUCUUGCUCUGUCACCCAGGCUGAAGUGUAGUGGCGCAAUCUCAGCUCACUGCAACCUCUGCCUCCCAGAUUCAAGCGAUCCUUCUGCCUCAGCCUCCCGAGUAGCUGGAAUUACAGGCGUGUGCCACCACGGCUGGCCUAAUUUUGGUAUUUUUAGUAGAGAUGGGGUUUCACCAUGUUGGCCAGGCUGAUAUCGAACUCCUGGCCUCAAGUGAUCUACCCCCCUUGGCCUCCCAAAGUGCUGGGAUUACAGGUGUGAACCACCAUGCCCGGCCUCAAAUUGCUUUUACAGAGGCAAGUGGCCACCGAGUCUGUGAUUGGGAUCCUCCUGUGGAGACCUGUGGAGACUCGUGGCUCACUACCUUUGAAGGCAGUGUUAGGGUAAUCUCUCCACAUUUCCCUGCUGAAAGCUCUGAGUGUUAGUAAAUUCCUUCUCAUAUUAGCUAAAAUGUAUUUUCCUGUGCCUUUUAUUCACUGAUGGGGAAUACAAGCAUUCUUUUUGAGGGUGGCCAAUGCUAGUAAUUCCCUCCAUACAGUCAGUGAUGGAUAGAGUUAACCCAUGGUUGCUGCAUGUAGUACUGUCACUUGCUGUACCACCAGGACUCAAGUUGAUGCUCAACGCAACAUUCUUUUGCAGGGCCCUUGUCCUCAGUUUCCCUUCUUUUGGGGUGGGCUGAGAGAGACAGCUUAUUCAGCAUGAAGCUGUAGUAUCUACAGUUUAGCAAAUGUCUGCGGAGCCUUUAAAGCAGUUUUUAUCAUAAUAAAAAUAUUUUAACUUAUAACCCCAGAAAGAGAUAGGCAUGGGAGUCUUUAUACAGCACAGAAAUCCAGAUGAGCAUAAUUUGAAAGUCAUUUGAAUUGUAAUGAGUAUUUUUAAUGUAAACAGGCAGGAGGAAAAACUUGCUGGGUUCUCUUGUAGCACAGACACCCAGAUAUAUGUCUUUUGAUAGUGAUAUUAAAGUGUCAAGGGUGCAUAGGAGGCUGCAGAUGUCAGCGGCAUGAAUGGGCAAGGCAAUUUCUGUGGUUGCAGGCUGGAGGUUCCAGCAGGAAUAGAAAGGCAAUCUCUGUGCUAGAUGGCCCAGGGUCACUGCAAGUCUAGCUCCUAAAUGAAAAUCAGGGACAAGAUGUGGCCUGUAACCACAGUCACUGCUCUUCGUAAGGCUGGUGGAAAGGUGAACUGGAAAGGUUUUUAGGGUUAGGGAGAUACAGGAACUCCCAAACAUCAGGCACCUGAUAGCACUCUCCACCUAACAUCUGCAUUUAUAUUGACCUAAUGCAUCUGUUCAAUUUGUCUCAUUCUUUGUGCUCACACACAUUUAUUUGAAACAAAACUUUCCAUCAUUACUAUAGGUGAAAAUCCUUGAUCACUUGCCUUGAAUACAAGAAACCAUUAUUAAAUGCAAGCUAGAUAAUUUUGCUUGUCUUACAGCCAUGAGCCUUAAGUCUGUUCCCCCCACCCCCCCCCCCCCCCGCCUUUUUUUUUUGUUAAAAAGAUGAGCAAAAUGUGAGAAUGAUGCAAAAGAGAUCCUGGUACCAAAAGAAGCCUUCUAACUGGAUAUCAUCAGAGGGACAGAAAGAAUUAAAGUAUGGACAAAUUUCUCAAA